UACGUAGGCAGCGAGCGUUGUUCGGAGUUACUGGGCGUAAAGAGUGCGUAGGCGGUUUUCUAAGUUUGGUGUGAAAUCUCCCGGCUCAACUGGGGGGGUGCGCCGAAGACUGGAAGGCUUGAGUAUGGGAGAGGUAAGCGGAAUUCCUGGUGUAGCGGUGAAAUGCGUAGAUAUCAGGAGGAACACCUGCGGUGUAGACGGCUUACUGGACCAUAACUGACGCUGAGGCACGAAAGCGUGGGUAGCAAACAGG
rnacentral:rRNA from 1 species